AUGGCGACCGGCGCACGGGUGAGUAACACGUAUCCAACCUGCCGAUAACUCGGGGAUAGCCUUUCGAAAGAAAGAUUAAUACCCGAUGGUAUAAUCAGACCGCAUGGUUUGAUUAUUAAAGAAUUUCGGUUAUCGAUGGGGAUGCGUUCCAUUAGGCAGUUGGUGAGGUAACGGCUCACCAAACCUUCGAUGGAUAGGGGUUCUGAGAUGAAGGUCCCCCACAUUGGAACUGAGACACGGUCCAA
rnacentral:rRNA from 1 species